AGUGAACGCUGGCGGUAGGCCUAACACAUGCAAGUCGAACGGCAGCACAGUAAGAGCUUGCUCUUACGGGUGGCGAGUGGCGGACGGGUGAGGAAUACAUCGGAAUCUACUUUUUCGUGGGGGAUAACGUAGGGAAACUUACGCUAAUACCGCAUACGACCUACGGGUGAAAGCAGGGGAUCUUCGGACCUUGCGCGAUUGAAUGAGCCGAUGUCGGAUUAGCUAGUUGGCGGGGUAAAGGCCCACUAAGGCGACGAUCCGUAGCUGGUCUGAGAGGAUGAUCAGCCACACUGGAACUGAGACACGGUCCAGGCUCCUACGGGAGGCAGCAGUGGGGAAUAUUGGACAAUGGGCGCAAGCCUGAUCCAGCCAUACCGCGUGGGUGAAGAAGGCCUUCGGGUUGUAAAGCCCUUUUGUUGGGAAAGAAAAGCAGCAGGUUAAUACCCCGCUGUUCUGACGGUACCCAAAGAAUAAGCACCGGCUAACUUCGUG
rnacentral:rRNA from 1 species